rnacentral:rRNA from 1 species
UACGUAGGUGGCAAGCGUUGUCCGGAUUUACUGGGCGUAAAGAGCGCGCAGGCGGUCGUUCAAGUCGCGUGUGAAAGCCCCCCGGCUCAACUGGGGAGGGUCACGCGAUACUGAUCGACUCGAAGGCAGGAGAGGGUAGUGGAAUUCCCGGUGUAGUGGUGAAAUGCGUAGAUAUCGGGAGGAACACCAGUGGCGAAGGCGGUUGCCUGGGGCUUUGCUGACGCUGGAGGCUGCGAAAGCGUGGG